CCUACGUGUGGCAGUAGUGAGGAAUAUUGGUCAAUGGCCGAGAGGCUGAACCAGCCAAGUCGCGUGAGGGACGACGGCCCUACGGGUUGUAAACCUCUUUUGUCGGGGAGCAAAGCGAGUCACGUGUGACUCAUUGAGAGUACCCGAAGAAAAAGCAUCGGCUAACGUCGUUCCAGCAGCCACCGUAAUACGGGGGAUGCGAGCGUUAUCCGGAUUUAUUGGGUUUUAAGGGUGCGCAGGCGGAGGUGCAAGUCCGCGGUCAAAUUGCGGGGCUCAACCCCGUACUGCCGUUGAAACUGCAUCCCUUGAGUGCGCGAGAAGUAUGCGGAAUGCGUGGUGUAGCGGUGAAAUGCAUAGAUAUCACGCAGAACUCCGAUUGCGAAGGCAGCAUACCGGCGCGCAACUGACGCUCAUGCACGAACGCGUGGGUAUCGAACAGGAUUAGAUACCCGAGUAGUC
rnacentral:rRNA from 1 species